UUAAAGUGCAAGUAGAUAAAGAGGUGGUGUAGCCACCAUAGUGUCACAUUAGGAGAAUAUAGCUUCUGAAAUAACUGAUGGAAAUAUUAAUGCAGGUGAUUUUCGAGAUGCUCUCACUCAAUAAUGUUUGCAGCUUCACGUUGUCUGAGAGUGAACAUGUUUGGAGCAGAUCCUUAAUAGAGGCAUGUCGUCUUUAUUUUGGAUGGAUACUACCACGAAAUAUCAUCAAUAGAAUGGUUUUAGACUCUCCACCACAUGCAUAUAUUCUAAAUGCAUACAUGAAGCAAUCUCCUGCUUAGAUCCAUGAGACCAAAAUCUCGACUCUCAAGAAUGAACUUUUGGUGUGAUCAGAAAAAUCUUUACUGGUUCAUGGACAACAGGGAAAACCCAGAAGUUGAAGGAUUUCUGCUAGUUUUGCUUACUAGUAUGGUUCUUGCUGUUUGAUAAAUACUGCAUACUCAUCAGCUUAUAUAGCAAAUUUCUUUGCGACCAAAGAGAUGAAGUUUUCACCAAGAAAAAACAUGUUUGAACAUAUAUGAUAAAUUAGAAUGUUCCUUCCAAAGUUCAAACUUGUCAUCUGUCUCCAGCAUUCUUGCUAGCUUGCAAGAUACAGGGCAGCAAAGACUGCAUGUUACAAGGAUAGGGCUAGGUAUUUUCAAAGUUUUAAAUAGCGAGCUAUGGCAAAUAGCGGCAGCCUGAAAAUAAAUUAAAUUGGCGCUAUAGCGCCACAAAAUUGUACAGGAUGCCGUUUAGCAUGAUGCCCCUCCGCUAUAGCACUCUAUUUAAAACUUCUUUAUUUUGUUGAUUGUACUCUGCUACUCUAAGAAAACAUUGCUUGGUAGAGACCAAAGUUAUUAGGCCAAUAAAUAGGUCUUAUGUCGGUAAUCAGAUGAUCUUUCCUGAUCCGUGUGCCAUUUGCUAAAAUUUUGCCUAUUUUUUAACAGCCACUGUAAUCUUUAAUCUGCAACAGAAAGUGUAUAUGUCAUGUCCCAUGCUUGACUAGGCUAUGAUGAUGAUCAAAUUUAUGUUCUAUGAUUUAAUCACUCUUGUAUAAUGCAAAGAUCUGUGUGCGCACGCACGGAUGCUCAGGUAUGGUUUGAUUCUUUUUGUACCUGUCUUUUGGCAGGAUUACGAAACCUGAGCAUUUCAGCACCAGAAAACAAGAAGAGACAGAUUCUGCAAAGCUUGUGAUCUCAUGCUGCAUGGCAUCAGAUUCCUCAUGGCCUGUCCGCGUAUGGAACGAUGUCGGGUUUAGAGUUUGCAUGGAGUGAUGCCAUCAGUGAGCCUAACGUGAACGGAUUAAUGAUGGAUCGCGGAAUCUUCACUGGCCAACUGUCUAUAGACACGUUAGAUAAUGGUGUGACAUCCUAUUCCUUCCAAAAGCAUCACCAGGAAUAAUUUGCGAUUAAUUUCUUUAAAUUUAGCACUGCUUUACUUUUAACCAUAUGCCAUGAUUUCUGUACGUUGAAAAAGUAUCAUAUUUACCAUGAAUUGUAGAUGCCCUUAUACUUUUCUGCAACCAAAAGAAUGAUACUUGAAAUUAGGGAAUGCUGCACGAAUAAACAAAAUGUAAAUGGAUUGCUGUUUAUUGUAGUAUAUACUUUAACAGUAUCAUUGAUUUUACUUCUACAAAUGGUUAUAAUCACUUCUGGUUUCCUAUUUGCGGGGUACUAGAUUGAGCUGGUUUUGGCAUUUAAUUUUUACCUACUACUCACAGUAGAGGCUAACUUGUAUUGAAAUGUUUUACCUGCAUUAUUGUUACAAAAUAUUUGCAAUUUAUUGGUUUUUAUUUCUGUUAUGGAAGCUGUAUAUUUAAAUGACGCAGUUUUGUACAGCUCAAUUUCAUAUUUGCUUCUGUUACGAAUGCAGGCUAAAUAUGUGUUCAAACAAUUAUUGACCAAGAUUCAUAUCCUUUCUGUCAAUCCCAAAAAUAGGUUUAUCAAAGAACUUGAUUAAUCACCAAAGCCAAUAUUGCUACAAUAAUAGAGGAGCAGCAAAACUUGCCAACUAUUCCUGUGACCAAUAUUACUGCCUUGCCGCUUACUCCACUGCCUCUAGUCACCAUUACCACAUGGUUGUCACCUCCUAACACUUGUUGCACAAUAUGGCCGCAUGCAUCUUUGUGAUGCAUAGGCCGGAGGCAAUCCUCCUUUUCUAAAAAAAACAUCUGUUGCACAAAUUUAUGCUGGUUUAGUAACAGAGCCCUCAGAAGGACAUAAAUGACACUAGUGAUUUCUUACGACCUCCAAGACAGUACUCUUACUUACUACUUCUAUAACUAUAUAUUAGUUCAUACUCCCUCUGUUCCUAUAUAUUUGUCUUUUUAGAGAUUUCAAAUGGACUAUCACAUACGGAUGUAUAUAGACAUAUUUUAGAGUGUAGAUUCACUCAUUUUGCUCCGUAUGUAGUUGUUGAAAUCUCUAGAAAGACAAAUAUUCAGGAACGGAGGGAGUAUAAGGUAAAACUAUAGUGCCGAAAUAAUUUUCAGUCAUUGUUCAAUGUUGACACUUUAGACAUUUUCUAGUCGAAAUUGUGUGUAUUUGACCAGAGGAUUCUAAGUGUUAAUACAGAAGGACAAAGGUUGUACAUGGUGUUCCAUCUUUGCAGACAUUUAUGCAGUUUCCAGUUUUACUUUGGUCGGCAGAUGGCCUUUACGGAUUUGGAAGGAAGUCGGGAGGUGUAUAAUGCACUAAUUGUGUUGUUCGAUAUCGAAUCAAAGGCACGGACAAUAUCUAAGCGAAUAACAUGAGGUCUUUACUGAGGAACUUUAGCUAGGGUAGCACCUAGCUGAUGCUUGUGUGGUCCACGAGCAUGAUAGCAUUGACGGAGACUUGGCCUGAUUUAUUCCACAACUAGCGCCGGAACUUGCCGCCGCGCCCGUGGAAUUGCCCGUUUGGAUUUUUUGUUUACUUGCAGGGCAACUUGUGGGGUUGAUGGCUACUGGAACUGAAGGUUACCCAGGAAUUGCCUGCCCUGCGUCUUACUGCAAAUUAUUGGAAGAUCAUAUUCUUAUCGAGAAUGAAAGCAUUAUUCCUCCAGCGUCGACGGUAGGAAUGCAAGAGGGGGUAUGAGAGACGUGAAGGUUUUGUGAGGACCCGAUUUAUUUUGUCCAGUGGCAUGCAAGAGGGAGUGGACACGGCCCAAGUUUCAUAUCAAAUGUGUGUUUCCUGUUCUGGUUGAAUUAUUCGGUGUGACUAUUUUCGCUUAUCCGGUUAGGCUUGAGCAUUUUGGGCCAGUAACAUGUUGCUUUCAGUUUUGAAGCUGGGUAAGCUCAUAUAAAAUGCAUAAUCUUCCCUAUUUUCUAAUCAAGCCGAAUUUUUUAGACCGCUUUGCUUGGUGCUAGACAUCUCAAAUCAUUUGUCCCGAACUUAUUAUAUACUUC